AAUACCUAGGAAAUGUGUUAAGAAUACAGAUUACUCAGUGCAACCUUGUAUCAGGCAGCCCGACCCUGACCUAAAGUAAAUUCCCAGGAGACUUUUUCCCUGGGUUUUGAAUUUGCAGUAACAGGUGUGAACAUUCUAGCAGCCAUUUGAUGAUCAUGUAUGAUACUGCAAACAGGA
ensembl:snoRNA